rnacentral:tRNA from 1 species
CUAGAGUUUGCACGAAUCAGUAAUGAUUCACGCAUCAAAUGUUCACACUUAUCGACUGUUAGCUGAAGAAGAAACAGUAGUCGUAGUAGCACCGCGUUGGGGCUGUAGCUCAGCUGGUUAGAGCACCGUGUUGAUAACGCGGGGGUCGUUGGUUCGAGUCCAACCAGCCCUACCAGUUAAGUAGUAAAUCUCAGGGGGAUUAGCUCAGCUGGGAGAGCACCUGCUUUGCAAGCAGGGGGUCGUCGGUUCGAUCCCGUCAUCCUCCACCAAGUACUUUGAAAGUGCAAACGUAAGUUAAUCACGAUAGUGAUUGAAUUUAGGUUUGAUCUUUUAGCGAUCAAAGCUGUUUCGUUCUUUAACAAUCUGGAAGAAGUAAAGAUUAUUUAUUGAUCGGUUUGCCGUAAAAAGUAAAUCGAUGGGUAAUGAUUGUAUGUAUCAACAAACAAGCAACAACGUUGUACUUUCUUAUCCCUGUAGCGCUCUUUGAUGAUUUCGGUUAUCAGAGGCUAACGUUAUAGG